rnacentral:lncRNA from 1 species
UCGGCUACAUCGAUGGAGAGGAGUCCUUAUCUUGAUCACCAAGACUUGUGAAAUCUUUCGCGUAUAUGUCAUGUGUUGCCCGAAGUGGCUCAUGAGUGAAUUGCCUUGGGUGUCCUCAGCCCGACCCACUCGUCGAAGGACGAUGUGGUGAAUACCCCUAGUUCAGAACACCAUUACUAUGCAUUGAAUGUUUUAAUUGCUAAACCUUUUAAGCCUUGUACAAUGCUAGAUGCUUAAAAAGAUUAAGCAAUGCCUGUUUUUAUAUGAAAGGUGCUUAAGUAAGUCUAGCCUUUAUAGUUAAGCAUGUUGUUUAAUAAACGCUGUUUUAUAUCUCUAAACACGUCCUUUAAGCAAAUUACAUUGUACUACAAGGCCUUAAUAUGCUUAGCACCUCAUGCCACACCGGCGCAUCAAAGCGGC